rnacentral:rRNA from 1 species
CCUACGGGCGGCAGCAGUGAGGAAUAUUGGUCAAUGGGCGCGAGCCUGAACCAGCCAAGUAGCGUGAAGGAUGACUGCCCUACGGGUUGUAAACUUCUUUUAUAAAGGAAUAAAGUGAGGCACGUGUGCCUUUUUGUAUGUACUUUAUUAAUAAGGAUCGGCUAACUCCGUGCCAUCAGCCGCGGUAAUACGGAGGAUCCGAGCGUUAUCCGGAUUUAUUGGGUUUAAAGGGAGCGUAGAUGGGUUGUUAAGUCAGUUGUGAAAGUUUGCGGCUCAACCGUAAAAUUGCAAUUGAUACUGGCAGUCUUGAGUACAGUUGAGGUAGGCGGAAUUCGUGGUGUAGCGGUGAAAUGCUUAGAUAUCACGAAGAACUCCGAUUGCGAAGGCAGCUUACUAAACUGCCACUGACAUUGAUGCUCGAAAGUGUGGGUAUCAAACAGGAUUAGAUACCCCUGUAGUC